AACGAACGCUGGCGGCAUGCCUAACACAUGCAAGUCGAACGAUGCCUCCGGGCAUAGUGGCGCACGGGUGCGUAACGCGUGGGAAUCUGCCCUUGGGUUCGGAAUAACUCGCCGAAAGGCGAGCUAAUACCGGAUGAUGACGUAAGUCCAAAGAUUUAUCGCCCAAGGAUGAGCCCGCGUAGGAUUAGCUAGUUGGUGGGGUAAAGGCCCGCCAAGGCGACGAUCCUUAGCUGGUCUGAGAGGAUGAUCAGCCACACUGGGACUGAGACACGGCCCAGACUCCUACGGGAGGCAGCAGUGGGGAAUAUUGGACAAUGGGCGAAAGCCUGAUCCAGCAAUGCCGCGUGAGUGAUGAAGGCCUUAGGGUUGUAAAGCUCUUUUAACCGGGAUGAUAAUGACAGUACCGGGAGAAUAAGCUCCGGCUAACUCCGUG
rnacentral:rRNA from 1 species